UACGUAGGAUGCAAGCGUUGUCCGGAAUUAUUGGGCGUAAAGAGCGCGCAGGCGGUAUGACAAGUCAGAUGUGAAAGAGGCCGGCUUAACCGGCAAGGGUCAUUUGAAACUGUCAGACUAGAGUGCAGCAGAGGAUAGUGGAAUUCCUGGUGUAGCGGUGAAAUGCGCAGAUAUCAGGAGGAACACCAGCGGCGAAGGCGGCGCUCUGGGCCGGAACUGACGCUGAGGAGCGAAAGCGUGGGUAGCAAACAGG
rnacentral:rRNA from 1 species